rnacentral:rRNA from 1 species
GACGAACGCUGGCGGCGUGCUUAACACAUGCAAGUCGAACGGAAAGGCCCUGCUUUUGUGGGGUGCUCGAGUGGCGAACGGGUGAGUAACACGUGAGUAACCUGCCCUUGACUUUGGGAUAACUUCAGGAAACUGGGGCUAAUACCGGAUAGGAUCUCCUGCUGCAUGGUGGGGGUUGGAAAGUUUCGGCGGUUGGGGAUGGACUCGCGGCUUAUCAGCUUGUUGGUGGGGUAGUGGCUUACCAAGGCUUUGACGGGUAGCCGGCCUGAGAGGGUGACCGGCGACAUUGGGACUGAGAUACGGCCCAGACUCCAACGGGAGGCAGCAGUGGGGAAUAUUGCACAAUGGGCGGAAGCCUGAUGCAGCAACGCAGCGUGCGGGAUGACGGCCUUCGGGUUGUAAACCGCUUUCGCAUGUGACGAAGCGUGAGUGACGGUAAUGGGUAAAGAAGCACCGGCUAACUACGUG